rnacentral:rRNA from 1 species
UGCGCAGGCGGAAUAAUAAGUCAGUGGUGAAAUCUCUCGGCUCAACCGAGAAACUGCCAUUGAUACUGUUAUUCUUGAGUAUAGUUGUAGUGGGCGGAAUAUAGCAUGUAGCGGUGAAAUGCUUAGAUAUGCUAUAGAACACCGAUCGCGAAGGCAGCUCACUAAACUAUAACUGACGCUCAGGCACGAAAGCGUGGGGAGCAAACAGGAUUAGAUACCCUGGUAGUC